UAGUGGCGCACGGGUGCGUAACACGUAUGCAACCUACCUUACAUUGGGGGAUAGCCUUUCGAAAGGGAGAUUAAUACCGCAUAAGACAGUAACUGGGCAUCCAGUAGCUGUUAAAGAUUUAUCGAUGUAAGAUGGGCAUGCGUCCAAUUAGUUAGUUGGCGAGGUAAUGGCUCACCAAGACUUUGAUUGGUAGGGGAACUGAGAGGUCAAUCCCCCACACUGGCACUGAGAUACGGGCCAGACUCCUACGGGAGGCAGCAGUAGGGAAUAUUGGGCAAUGGACGCAAGUCUGACCCAGCCAUGCCGCGUGCAGGACGAAGGCGUUAUGCGUUGUAAACUGCUUUUAUACAGGAAGAAACGACUCUUGCGAGAGGCAUUGACGGUACUGUAUGAAUAAGCACCGGCUAACUCCGUGCCAGCAGCCGCGGUAAUACGGAGGGUGCAAGCGUUGUCCGGAUUUAUUGGGUUUAAAGGGUGCGCAGGUGGUUUAUUAAGUCAGUGGUGAAAGACGGUCGCUCAACGAUUGCAGUGCCAUUGAAACUGGUAGACUUGAGUAAAGUAGAGGUGGGCGGAAUUGAUAGUGUAGCGGUGAAAUGCAUAGAUAUUAUCAAGAACUCCAAUUGCGAAGGCAGCUCACUUGGCUUUUACUGACACUCAUGCACGAAAGUGUGGGUAUCAAACAGGAUUAGAUACCCUGGUA
rnacentral:rRNA from 1 species